rnacentral:rRNA from 1 species
UACGGGGGGGGUAAGCGUUGUUCGGAAUUACUGGGCGUAAAGAGCUCGUAGGCGGCUUGUCGCGUCGUCCGUGAAAACCCGGGGCUCAACCCCGGGCUUGCGGUCGAUACGGGCAGGCUCGAGUUCGGUAGGGGAGACUGGAAUUCCUGGUGUAGCGGUGGAAUGCGCAGAUAUCAGGAAGAACACCCGUGGCGAAAGCGGCUCUCUGGAACGGUACUGACGCUGAGACGCGAAAGCGUGGGGAGCGAACAGG